rnacentral:rRNA from 1 species
AAAGAUUAAGCCAUGCAUGUCUAAGUAUAAGCAAACUAUACAGUGAAACUGCGAAUGGCUCAUUAAAUCAGUUAUCGUUUAUUUGAUAGUACCUUUGCUACUUGGAUAACCGUGGUAAUUCUAGAGCUAAUACAUGCUAAAAAUCCCAACCCCUGGAAGGNAUGUAUUUAUUAGAUAAAAAACCAACGGNCUUCGGCCUCCUUGGUGAUUCAUGAUAACUUAACGAAUCGCAUGGCCUUGUGCUGGCGAUGGUUCAUUCAAAUUUCUGCCCUAUCAACUUUCGAUGGUAGGAUAGUGGCCUACCAUGGUUUCAACGGGUAACGGGGAAUUAGGGUUCUAUUCCGGAGAGGGAGCCUGAGAAACGGCUACCACAUCCAAGGAAGGCAGCAGGCGCGCAAAUUACCCAAUCCCGACACGGGGAGGUAGUGACAAUAAAUACUGAUACAGGGCUCUUUUGGGUCUUGUAAUUGGAAUGAGUACAAUUUAAAUCCCUUAACGAGGAACAAUUGGAGGGCAAGUCUGGUGCCAGCAGCCGCGGUAAUUCCAGCUCCAAUAGCGUAUAUUAAAGUUGUUGCAGUUAAAAAACUCGUAGUUGAACCUUGGGCUCGGCUGGCCGGUCCGCCUCACCGCGUGCACUGGUCCGGCCGGAUCUUUCCUUCUGGCUAGCCGCAUGCCCUUCACUGGGUGUGUCGGGGAACCAGGACUUUUACUUUGAAAAAAUUAGAGUGUUCAAAGCAGGCAUAUGCUCGAAUACAUUAGCAUGGAAUAAUAGAAUAGGACGUGCGGUUCUAUUUUGUUGGUUUCUAGGACCGCCGUAAUGAUUAAUAGGGAUAGUCGGGGGCAUCAGUAUUCAAUUGUCAGAGGUGAAAUUCUUGGAUUUAUUGAAGACUAACUACUGCGAAAGCAUUUGCCAAGGAUGUUUUCAUUAAUCAGUGAACGAAAGUUAGGGGAUCGAAGACGAUCAGAUACCGUCGUAGUCUUAACCAUAAACUAUGCCGACUAGGGAUCGGGCGAUGUUCUUUUUCUGACUCGCUCGGCACCUUACGAGAAAUCAAAGUCUUUGGGUUCU